GGCCCGCUCCUUGCUUUACAGACCUUACAGGUAGCCAACGGCGGUUGCCCCACUCACGACAAAGACGUCGC
rnacentral:ncRNA from 1 species